CCUACGGGAGGCAGCAGUGAGGAAUAUUGGUCAAUGGGCGGAAGCCUGAACCAGCCAAGUAGCGUGUAGGAUGACGGCCCUACGGGUUGUAAACUGCUUUUAUACGGGAAUAACGCGCCUUACGUGUAGGGCUUUGCAUGUACCGUAUGAAUCAGGACCGGCUAAUUCCGUGCCAGCAGCCGCGGUAAUACGGAAGGUCCGGGCGUUAUGCGGAUUUAGUGGGUUUAAAGGGAGCGUAGGCCGCAUGUCAAGCGUGCUGUGAAAUGUCCGGGCUCAACCCGGGCCUUGCAGCGCGAACUGGCGUGCUUGAGUCCGCGGAAAGCAGGCGUAAUUCGUCGUGUAGCGGUGAAAUACUUAGAUCU
rnacentral:rRNA from 1 species